CAGAUUACUUUUUUUUGUUCGCCAUCAGACUAAUUGAGUCAGAAAAAAUAAUGCGGAGAUGGGAGGAGAAGAAAGCAAAGGAAAUUGGUAUGUGCUGUCUGCCUUCAAUGGUUAGCGAAGCAAGGUGAUUGAUUCACAAAACUCAUUCCCUAUUUACCCGCUUAAAUAUACUCUUGUAUAUUACCUGAUUAAUAAAAAAGUCUCCAUCCGAUGGAUUCCAGAAUGCUAGGCACCGCACGCUGCAGCCAAGGAUCAUGAUACUUACCUGACAAGUACUAGAAUUCCCAAGCCAGAGGCUAUGAUACCAUGACAUUUGGCUAAAGAAGCAGGUGCAAGAUGAUUGGAAAGGCCGGUGGCUGGAAGGGGAGCUGCCACAGCAGCCGCGGGCACUGGCUUCACAGAUGUGACAAAUCGAAGGAGCUCAUCGUGCUUCACCGUAGGCUGGACAGAGUGGAAGCCUUAACUCCUACCUGCGUGCUCGCUCUCCAUCACCGGCGCAUCGUGGAGGCCAUACCCCUGCCGGCGCGCUCGCUCCGAGCAACCGCCCCAUUGCCCACCCCACCCUGGUGGUGCUUCACUAUCGUCAAGUGAAGAUACAUCCAUCCGAGCUCGUACUCGACAUUGGCAGUAACCCUACUCUCAGAUUGUGUAAUCAAUUGAUAUUGUUCUUCUCCGUUGUGAUGCAAAUCAAAUCAUUUCUCAUCACUCCAAUUCUCUAUAGAGUUAUUCCUGCAGUAUUUUUUCUGAGGAUUUUGUAUGUACGUUUCAGGUUCAGCUAAACCCCCAUGCCACACGUGAACGCCAAGGCAGUUGCGGCACCGCCAAGGAAAUGAAGGGGUGGACCCAGCGCUGGAGACGAUGGUGUUGCUCGCAUGUCUAGACCAGGCCCUGAAGCACUGCAGACGAUGGUGUUGCUUUCAAGGAUGUGCAACUAAGCUUUGACCGCCGCCUCUUCAAGGUGUAAACUGAAGCCUGGCAGGAAACUGAUGCAUAGAGUUUGGUAGAAGAUUAGAAAAGGCCGAUGUACAUGACCAAGACACUUCUUGAUUGAAGAAGAUAGCUUGCAAAGAUUACGACUAAGCUUCUAGCUAGGAGGUGACAAUUAGUAAAAUUAUUGGAUCAUCUUUUAUAAUGUUGUACUGUGUUUAGCUAUAUUUGUAGUACUAAAGUGAGAAGAGUCAAGUGAAACGAAGAUUACUUGUAAUGCAUGAACAGUUGCGAAUGUACCAGUUAGAUCAACUUUGUACUAUACAUUGGUCUUCUUAGUUGAGUACUAUGGAAUGCUUGGAAUUGUUUAGAGAAAAUAUUACAUGAUAUCUGUAUUAAAUGAUAAUGAAAUAUGUAUUAAUA